rnacentral:misc_RNA from 1 species
AAAUUAUAUAAAUAAGCUAAAAUCAUAACACAUCUAUAGGCAGGCUUCAUCUCAUUAUUUAACAGCUCAUCAAAUCUACAAAAUUAACUUAAAAUGUCCUGCUGAUUGAGCAUAGUUGUCAUAAUAAUCAAGGCCAGUAAAUUGAUAACUAGCCCUUGCUGAAUGUUUAACCCUUCAAAAUCUAACUGGCUACUGAGAAUAGUAGAUGCCAUAGAAGCACCCCUAAUGAUGCAGCAUAUUUGAGUUUCUUGCAGCAUCACCAGGGUAAAUACUCUUUAAGAUGGAUAUUGCCAUUGGAA